rnacentral:tRNA from 1 species
GGAGAGAUGGCCGAGUGGUUAAAGGCGUAGCAUUGGAACUGCUGUGUAGACUUUUGUUUACCGAGGGUUCGAAUCCCUCUCUCUCCGU